rnacentral:rRNA from 1 species
AACCCCGGCGAGGGGAGUGAAAAAGAACCUGAAACCGUGUACGUACAAGCAGUGGGAGCACCCUUUGGGGUGUGACUGCGUACCUUUUGUAUAAUGGGUCAGCGACUUAUAUUCUGUAGCAAGGUUAACCGUAUAGGGGAGCCGGAGGGAAACCGAGUCUUAACCGGGCGUUAAGUUGCAGGGUAUAGACCCGAAACCCGGUGAUCUAGCCAUGGGCAGGUUGAAGGUUGGGUAACACUAACUGGAGGACCGAACCGACUAAUGUUGAAAAAUUAGCGGAUGACCUGUGGCUGGGGGUGAAAGGCCAAUCAAACCGGGAGAUAGCUGGUUCUCCCCGAAAGCUAUUUAGGUAGCGCCUCGUGAAUUCAUCUCCGGGGGUAGAGCACUGUUUCGGCUAGGGGGCCAUCCCGGCUUACCAACCCGAUGCAAACUGCGAAUACCGGAGAAUGUUAUCACGGGAGACACACGGCGGGUGCUAACGUCCGUCGUGAAGAGGGAAACAACCCAGACCGCCAGCUAAGGUCCCAAAGUCAUGGUUAAGUGGGAAACGAUGUGGGAAGGCCCAGACAGCCAGGAUGUUGGCUUAGAAGCAGCCAUCAUUUAAAGAAAGCGUAAUAGCUCACUGGUCGAGUCGGCCUGCGCGGAAGAUGUAACGGGGCUAAACCAUGCACCGAAGCUGCGGCAGCGACACUCAGGUGUUGUUGGGUAGGGGAGCGUUCUGUAAGCCUGCGAAGGUGGCCUGUGAGGGUUGCUGGAGGUAUCAGAAGUGCGAAUGCUGACAUAAGUAACGAUAAAGCGGGUGAAAAGCCCGCUCGCCGGAAGACCAAGGGUUCCUGUCCAACGUUAAUCGGGGCAGGGUGAGUCGACCCCUAAGGCGAGGCCGAAAGGCGUAGUCGAUGGGAAACGGGUUAAUAUUCCCGUACUUGGUGUUACUGCGAAGGGGGGACGGAGAAGGCUAUGUUGGCCGGGCGACGGUUGUCCCGGUUUAAGCGUGUAGGUGUGUGUUCCAGGUAAAUCCGGUUCACUUUAACACUGAGGCGUGACGACGAGGCACUACGGUGCUGAAGCAACAAAUGCCCUGCUUCCAGGAAAAGCCUCUAAGCAUCAGGUAACAUCAAAUCGUACCCCAAACCGACACAGGUGGUCAGGUAGAGAAUACCAAGGCGCUUGAGAGAACUCGGGUGAAGGAACUAGGCAAAAUGGUGCCGUAACU